GUUGUCGAGCGUUUUCCGCUGACGGAGCCCUCACCUCAGACACCGGCGGUAGGGCUGGAUGCGGGCCCGGCCCAGGACCGGUCUUCUGUCCUCACACCGGGGAGGACCACGCAGGAAGGAGCUGAGUCAGAGAGACCGUGUGUAAUUUGCUCAGCGUCACACAGAUAGUAAACGGCAGAGCCGCUCUUCCUCCCUGUCCCGCCAGCUCCUGCCUUCUGCUGUCUUGGAUCUCCUAUGCACGGGAAACCUGUUGAAGGUAGGACAGCCGAAAGAAUGGACUUAGAGGAAACCGAAGAAAUCCCAAGCCACACCAAACAGGACCUCAAGACUCUCCCAUUUUUCUAUCAUCAGGGGCAUGUUUGGUACCUCUGGCGAUUUGCGAAAUGACCUUCUGACCCCAGAACUCCGAGUCAAACCCUGUGCCACACCCUUCCCAGGGCCCAGUGGUACUGCAUCAUCUGUUGCAAUCAGCUGCCGAGGCUUCACCACUGGUAUUCCUAUGAAAAAGCAAGUGUACCAGCUGUCAUCCAUCCUCGUUCUGAAGUCUCAGCUGUCUUUGGGGUUGCUACCCUAUUCUUCUGGGGCUCCACCAUAAAAGUUCUCACCAGUAGUCACCAGUUUGGACUUAUCCUCUUCAUCACCAACUUCAUCAUCUUCCACACUUCGGCCAGGAAAGAAAAAGCCCAUCAUUCUGUGGAAGAACUGGUGUGUCAGCUGGAUGGUGAGAGGCACCACAUUUACCUAAAAAGGAAAAAGAUUCAAGAAGCAAUUAAGCUCAGAUACCAUCAUCAGUUUACCUACUCCUAAUAUCGUGUAACACACAGGUGGCUUUUGAAUGUCCCUUGUUCCCAGGUCCCUAAGGGACUGCUUACUAACCUCAAAAUGCUCCUUAACAGAGAUACCCCCAACAGGGGGCCGAACUUUGCUGAAGAGGCGGAGAGCUAGCUGUCGCCCAGACUGGCAGGAGCUCUGGGGCCGCAGUACUACCUGUAGGAUAGAGAGUAAAGAAGAGCCCAACCCAAUGUCCUUCCUGCCAUAAAGCAACCCACAAAUCCUCUGCAGAAUGAGAGGAGAAGCAAUGGUACUGCUAAGCUGGGCAAGCUUUCACCCUCUCAGAUCACCACAUUGUUUUCCAUAGUGGAUUUAUACUGAAGGGCCGUUAUAAAUGCCCCGUGCUAAAAACAUGCAAAUGGACUAGGAAAGGGGAAAAAAGACUUGCCUUAUAGACAGCAUUGGGGAGGAGGUUGUUCAUGGUAAACCAGCCCAACUCCAGAAGAUGUUCUGCUGUGUCAUCAGACUUAUUCACCUAUAAAGACAGAUUUUGCCCCAUCUACUAUAAUAAACCUUUCUCAGAAGUCUACUAGAAAAAAAAAAAAAAA
rnacentral:lncRNA from 1 species